CGCGUAGGCGGCUCCAAAAGUCAGGGGUGAAAUCCGGCAGCUUAACUGUCGCAGUGCCUUUGAUACUGUGGAGCUAGAGGGAGGUAGGGGUCUGUGGAACUUCCGGUGGAGCGGUGAAAUGCGUUGAUAUCGGAAGGAACGCCGGUGGCGAAAGCGACGGACUGGAUCUCUUCUGACGCUGAGGCGCGAAAGCCAGGGGAGCAAAC
rnacentral:rRNA from 1 species